rnacentral:lncRNA from 1 species
CCUUGUAUGUUGUUUCUUUAUAAAUGGUUGAGCUGCUGAUGCAGGUAUUGCCAAGCUAACAGUACAAAUCAUUUUAAAGAGGAAGCUGGCGCGUAUGGCAGCCGAGGAGCACACUCUGCAGGACACUGGACAAGACAGUAAAUAUUCAACUUUUAAUGCUGAUUAAAGGAGUAUAGGUAAAGAAUACGUAGGUAUACAUAAUUGGUGAGACAAAUAUUCACUUUAUUUAUAUUUUAUAUAUUAUUUUUUUAAUUUGGUAAAUACUAUCCAGUUUUGUAGUUGUCCUUGUUGAUUUGUGUGAUAUUAAAGUAUUAGUAAUAAUUGCCAGGAAACUAUCAUUAGGGAGGGUUUAGUUGGUUGCUGUUUGGACUGGGAGGGAUGAUUUAAAUUUAGUGCUAGAAACCAAUUUUAGUGACUGCACAGUUUAUCAUUUGUCAGACAGAAGGUAGCUAUAAAGCUACCCUGUAAGUCAUAUCAAAAAAGUUCAGAGGAAGAUUAGUAAAUAUUUAUCAAUAAAAAUAAACAUUUUGUUUUUCUAAUAUCUUAACAUAUCCUCCCCUUUAGGAGGAAGAACGUGCAAAACGUGAGGAGCUAGAGCGAAUACUGGAAGAGAAUAACCGAAAAAUUGCAGAAGCACAAGCCAAACUGGCCGAAGAACAGUUGAGAAUUGUUGAAGAACAAAGAAAGAUUCAUGAGGAAAGGAUGAAACUAGAACAAGAACGACAACGUCAACAAAAAGAAGAACAAAAAAUUAUCCUGGGCAAGGGGAAGUCCAGGCCAAAACUGUCCUUCUCAUUAAAAACCCAGGAUUAAAUUGCAAACUCUGAACUUUUUACAAAGAAAAAUGGAAAAACUUUGUAUGGUAGCUUCAUGUUGAAGUGGUUUUUUGUUUUUGUUUUUGUUUUUUUAAUUUGUAAAAUCUGGAAAGUUAGCUUGUUCUAAUAGGGGCUAUGCUCUGCAAUUCCCUUUUUUUUUUUUUUUUUCCUUCCACUAAGUCAAAUCCUUAUCAGAUCAUUGUUGUAUUCUAAGGAGUGACGUAUUUUUCACCUGUUUGGAUUCUAUAUUAGUGGUCUGAGGAAGAGCAGAUCACAUUGUAAAACUAUGGAUGGUCUGAUAAGGCUUUUACUGACCCCACUGACUUCAGAGUUAUACUCUGUUUGCUACAUCAUAAUGCUGGUUUUGCUGACUUUUUGUUUUUUUAUAUAUUUAUAAAAAAAGAAAAAGUUGGUGAUUGCAUUGGGAAAUUCCCAGGGUAUUACUGGACCUAUGUGGUGUAUUGUUAAACCAGUGUCCUUGUGAUACUGUUGCUCUUGAUGUUCCUGAUACAGGUAAGGAA